ensembl:lncRNA
UAGAAUUUGAAUAUUUUAUUUUGUUCCCAACGAUUGGUGCUUUUCUUUAAUAAUAUGCAAGAAAAUGACACCACCGACCAAUCGCAAUCGAGUUGUAAGGAAACGUCAAUAAUUUGGACAAACCCCGCCUCAUUUCCGAUGUUUGCCGAAAUUUACCGAUAUGAAUUUCUUCCCUCUGAGCAAAAUAAAAAAAAAUCUGUGUUCUACCGUUGGUCUCGCUCUGAACCAGCUUCGACUCCAAGAAAAGAAGCUCGUGGUUAAGGCCUACAAAAAAUAGGAACAAACCACAAGAACAAAAGCUAUAUUCUUUGAUAUUUUCGACCCAAAAUUGGACUAGCGGUAUUAUUUUGGUUGCUGUAACGGAUGGCCAUCGAAAGUUCAGCUUUUAUUCUCGGCGUUUUGCAAUUUACGGGACAAAGUUGUAAGCCUCGGACUCGCCUGUGACUCCGUGCCGAUCGGUGGACUACGAUUCCAGUAGAGCUACCGGGAAAAGUCGGAGAAAGCCUGCGGUGUUAUAAUUACCUAAUUUCUGAAACUAUACGUACCUUUUGUUAAACUGUACGGUACAGUGGUAUGUAAACUUCAUGGCGAGCAUUGUAAUUACAUGUUUAGGUGUUCAUUUCCCUAUUUAAAGCCAAUUUUAAAAAGUAGGCCUCGUUUUCCAAUGCCUUUUAACAGGGACCCUGGCUUUGGCGGUAAGAAGUUGUAACAUAGGUUUUAAUCUGUCUUUUAGAGUCUUCGGAACAACACUAGUCGAUUAGUUUGUCAUAUAAUGCUGUGAAUGUCCACUCAAACAGUAGUAGGAUAAUGUGUUUAUACCAGGCCAGUGUUUGUUGCCGCUGCCGAUUGUGAAGCUAGCUGUAAACUAGCGGGCUGCUAGCUAAAUAAUGUCCGUAAUUUAAUCGCCUUUUCGAUGUUGGUCCCUCAACCUGAGACACAAAACGCAAGCGUUUUGGUAACCGGGUGUGGGUGACCAGUUUAUUCGUUUUAAUGUCUUUUUGGCGGCAGUUAAAUACGAUAUUUAGACUCUACUCGUGUUAAAUUCCCCUUUCUUUAACAUCUUAUGCUCGAUUAUAUAUUUUCAUUUCAAGGUGAACCUUGGGAGACGGGGUUGUGGUAACGUUAAGUGAGUGUUGGACCCUGCAUAUGGGAUAUUCCCGGGCAUAUUCGCUCGUUAUGAUCGCCUUUGUCGCCAAACUAAUCGCCUGGUUCGGUGAGCUCGUCUCCGUCACUUCAACAUGGCGGCGGCGGGGUUGACGAUGUUGUGAAAAAAGAAAGAUGGAGGCCCGGUGUCUUCUUGUUGCCAGACCUGACCACUGAACUGUGGGCUUCGUUUCAUACAAUUCGGCCUAUUUUACUAAUCGUUUGAUUAACCUGCAGCCCAUCGUAUCCUAUUUAUGGUGUCCUCCGAGGUGUGUGACUCAAGGAGAUGCCCUUUUUCUUUAGUUAGGAGUGUGUGGAGACAAUGUGGGUAACGAGGACCAGUGCAUCUCUGAUGCCAUGGGUUGUGAUUUGUGUAGCUUAUUGACGAGACUUGGUUUCUUUCAGUUAUGCCUUAUUAAUGGAGCAGGUGGGAUCUAUGGCAUUGUGUUACCAUGGAGUAAUCCUACAGUAUGGACGUGGUACACUCACUUAUUGGUUGUUUUGUUCUUUGUAACAUUGGACGGGAAAUGAGUUAUCGUCUCUCUUUUAGGUUGUUUAGAUAAUGUGUAUGUGCCCCAGCAAUCGUUCUCGUCCAAAAAUCAGUAAAUACAGAUGUAUGUCAAUUAACGCUGUCUCUAAAUAAACAUUUUAAACCAA